UACGUAGGUGGCAAGCGCUGUCCGGAAUUAUUGGGCGUAAAGCGCGCGCAGGCGGUCCUUUAAGUCUGAUGUGAAAGCCCACGGCUCAACCGUGGAGGGUCAUUGGAAACUGGAGGACUUGAGUACAGAAGAGGAAAGCGGAAUUCCACGUGUAGCGGUGAAAUGCGUAGAGAUGUGGAGGAACACCAGUGGCGAAGGCGGCUUUCUGGUCUGUAACUGACGCUGAGGCGCGAAAGCGUGGGGAGCAAACAGG
rnacentral:rRNA from 1 species